rnacentral:rRNA from 1 species
GAUGAACGCUGGCGGCGUGCUUAACACAUGCAAGUCGAACGGAAAGGCCUCUGCUUGCAGGGGUACUCGAGUGGCGAACGGGUGAGUAACACGUGGGUGAUCUGCCCUGCACUUCGGGAUAAGCCUGGGAAACUGGGUCUAAUACCGGAUAGGACAAUGGUUUGGAUGCUGUUGUGGAAAGUUUUUCGGUGUGGGAUGAGCUCGCGGCCUAUCAGCUUGUUGGUGGGGUAAUGGCCUACCAAGGCGUCGACGGGUAGCCGGCCUGAGAGGGUGUACGGCCACAUUGGGACUGAGAUACGGGCCAGACUCCGACGGGAGGCAGCAGGGGGGAAUAUUGGACAAUGGGCGCAAGCCUAAUGCAGCGACGCCGCGUGGGGGAUGACGGCCUUCGGGUUGUAAACUCCUUUCGCUAGGGACGAAGCGUUUUUGUGACGGUACCUGGAGAAGAAGCACCGGCUAACUACGUG